AGGACGAACGCUGGCGGCGUGCUUAACACAUGCAAGUCGAGGGGGCUCAGCAAUGGGUCACCGGCGAACGGGUGCGUAACACGUGAGCAACCUGCCGCAGAGUGGGGGAUAGCCGGCCCAACGGCCGGGUAAUACCGCAUACGAUCGUAUCGGGACAUCCCGUAACGAUGAAAGAUUUUAAUCGACCUCGUGUGGACGGGGCUCGCGGCCUUAUCAGCUAGUUGGACGAGGUAACGCUACACCAAGGCGACGACGGUAGCUGGUCGUGAGAGGAGUGGCCGAGACCACCAGUUUGGGAC
rnacentral:rRNA from 1 species